UCGUCAGCUCGUGUCGUGAGAUGUUCGGGUUAAGUCCCGCAACGAGCGCAACCCUCGACCUUAGUUGCCAGCAUUCAGUUGGGCACUCUAAGGUGACUGCCGGCUAAAAGUCGGAGGAAGGUGGGGAUGACGUCAAAUCAUCAUGCCCCUUAUGACCUGGGCUACACACGUGCUACAAUGGGCGGUACAAAGGGUCGCGAACCCGCGAGGGGGAGCCAAUCCCAAAAAGCCGCUCUCAGUUCGGAUUGCAGGCUGCAACUCGCCUGCAUGAAGCCGGAAUCGCUAGUAAUCGCGGAUCCAGCAUGCCGCGGUGAAUACGUUCCCGGGCCUU
rnacentral:rRNA from 1 species